GGCCAUGUUCCAGUUUCUGUGGAGAAUUCUUGCUGCUGAAAUGAUCUGCUCUCCCUGGUUCGGCAAAGAACCACCCAGCUCACCUUGAAACAGGGGUUUUGUUUCCUGAAAGUUUGAUACGGGGCCACGGAGGUGACAAAAGAUUGGCACUGCACCCUGGAAAUUAAAUGGCUGACUAUUAGAUCAACGUCAAAUAAGAGCAUUUUUCAAAGUUUGCAGAGAUGAGAUGUAGACACAGAGUCGUCAGGAGAACGUCACUGAUUUCAUCGUGAUUUGCUGACUACAACCAUCAGCCAAUAAAUCACAACUUCUUUUGGAAAGAGAGGUGACAACUGGACGCUCACCCCCAGUCCCGCAGCACUUACGUCAACAUGUGAUUCCCGGGAAAAAUCAGAUCCCUUCUCAAAGAGCAGUGAAGAAUCAGGGCGUGACCAUGUGGGAUCAUCUGACUUGCGCCUCUGCACUUUCACGACUUGUUCGAUCGCCGGCGACGGUGAGGGUGGCUUCUUCCUCCUUUCCCUCAAGUCCGGCCACACAAAAGGCUGCUCUUUCCCCGGCCUUAGCUUGGGUGCUCCCAGCGAGGGCUCCCUGACAGGCCAUCCUCAGCUGCUCCGAGUCCCCCGUAAUUAGCCCGCUAUGGCUGCUACCUCUUGUGGUUUUGCCUGUGAGAGACAUUUGACACAGCAGACAUCAGAGGGAUUUUUCAGGAGGCUCUUGUGGCGGGAGAAUGGCUCUUAAUUAACCACUUAGGUAUCCUCCUUCACUCUCCUGCUUGGCACUUUCCAAAUGGUAGGGGUUGCACUAUGGAUCUAAACACCGGGGAAGCGCGCUAUCAAAAGAUCUUGUAAAUGAAGGCUUGUGUAAAUUAUUUUUAAUGAUUCCCUCCUGGCACAUCAUUAUGUUUGUAGUUACACACAGGCACUUCAGAGAUGGCUCAUCUUCCGUAAGGUCAGCUGCAGGACCACCAAUAACUAGCUGCAGUCAGUAAAUGGCUUAUUAAUUAGCGCAGUGAUUUCACAUUGCUAAGAGCUCUGAUGUAUGGAGCUGGAAUUGUAAUUGUGUAGGAUCGAAAUAAUAAGCCAUCUCAGGGCUCCUUAUGCAAAUUGCCAUAUUAUAAAAUCAUUACCUAUCUAAACACCGAGUUUUAAUAAGAAUUACAAUGAUGAAUUUUAUGAUAAUUGACACUCAAAUUUUAAUCUCUCGGAUUUUUAUCAUUUUGGUGGUAAAGUGCGUUUCUAAUUAAAUGUUGCUUAAAAUGCAAAGGAUUGCUUAACGAUUCUAUUCGGUUCUUCUGGUUCAAAUCGGGUUAUUCUCUUUGGUCAGAGGAAAUAGGCCGUCGUGGUAAUAGCUAUGUGACGUUAUGAAUCACUCGUACAGUAAGAUGUUUAAUCACCGCUCUCUCUUCUCACAGUUCGGAUUUUGAGAACAGCGUACUGUCGACUCUGAGAGCGAGCACGGUGUGUAUGAUCAGGUCCGACUGCCGUAAAAAGAAUUAGUCAAAGUGAAGAGGUAAAAUCUAGAGAGUUUGCAUUCUUAUAGGAGUCUGCGGUCGCUCUGCCGAAAAUGUCAGGAUGGCUGCACCACUGGACCCCUUAUUUUAUGUAAUUCGACUUAGGUGAGGUCACUGACUUUCCGUUUCCAUCCUAAAGAUGCGUCAGCCUCAGGAAUCCCGUGGAAUACCGAACCCAGGCGCAAUCUAAAAGUUCAUACCGGGGAAUCUUGCCUCAGGUAGAGACUCCAAAUUUGUCUUUCUGGACUCGGUGUAAAAUAAGCAAUUGAACAUUAGAAAACCAAAAUCCCUUCCCCCAGAAAUGCACCCAAAGGCAUAACUUGCGGGCCACCCAUAUUGGACUGAAAAUAAUCAUAUCUCGCUUUCCCAAAGACUGAUUCUCUUUGUGGAACAAAGGAGCGUCGUUUUCUGUUCUUUAGCGGAGUUGCUACCCCUUGUAGAGAGGACCCAGAGCUGGAAUCCUCCGGGUUGAUAUUAGAUGGAGCUAAGCGGAGAUCUGAUAAAGGCAGAAAUGUGAAACAUCGUUCAGGAAAUUAACGAUACAUUUUUCUUGCCAGAGUAGUCACCGAAUUGGAUUUUGAUCAUCCUUUCAUGAAACUGCCACAGAUUAAAUAAAGAGGGCUUUGAAAACAGGAAUUAUGAUUUAUAAACUGUAGAUAAAUGAGGCUUUGAAGAACCGCUCCAAAAAAAAAAUACGAAACAAUCCAUCGCCCAUCCUCUCUCGCCACCUCACCAAGGACCCCCUCCACGGACACUGUGGUGACACAGGGUUAGCCGAGGGAGAUUUACGCAAGCACCGAUGAGACCGCAGACCCUCUUAGCUGAGGUUUCUGGUAAAUCCCAGUUUAAUACAAAUAGGAUCCUGAUUUUUAUAGAGCUCUGAAUGCAGAUGCAUGCAUAUGUGCAUUUGGAUAAACAGUGAACACAUACAUGCACGCGGGCUUUGCACAUAUAUUAGCUUUUGAUUAUCUAAUUGAAAUUUCUAAAUCUACAUUUAAAUGCAUCAGUGGAAAACGGUGUUUAUACAGAUGGGCCGGUUACCUCAUUGGUAAUUGACCAAACAGUAAAAGAAUGCUUUCCAUUUUGAACUCAUAAAUUCAUUCAUCAGAAUAAAGAUUACAGCAUUUAUCUUCUGACUAAAAUUCAGUUUCACCAAUCUUUUCUCAUCUCAGUGUUCAUCUGUGAGAGAACUGGUUUCAAUAAUUCCAAAAGUUGGCAGGCAAGGCUGCAGCCAGUAGAGUGAUUAAAAAAUCUCCCCUAACAUAUCUUUUACUACCUGCUGGUUAUUUAGAAAUUAAAUUAGAAUUUAGAAUUCGAAAGGUGAUUUUCGCAAGCCUCCAUUUGCAUACGUUGCCUUGUUUUCUCGAUUUAUCACUGGGUGUUUUUCAUUCCAUAAAUGCUGAAUAGCACUUACCUAUAGUUUACGAUUGUGUUUUUCUCUCAAAGCGUAGCCCAGCUUAAAUUUAAGAAGGACCUGCCAUCAGGUCUGAAGUAUUACUUAGAAAAGUGAAGUAAAUGCAUAAGCCCUCAUUUUAAAUCAAAAUGCAAAGCGGGACUUUUCAAUCUCCCACGUUGGAAAAAUGAAGCUAUUUAAUGAAAUCCAGACAACUAAAUCGGCAUUUCAGUGUCCCAGUUCCUUGUGGUCCAUUCUCCAGAUACGCAACAACCGUCUCUUUACAAUGUCUUUAACGUUCCUCUGUGUUUUUUGGUAUGCCUCGCACACUAGAAUGCAAUCAACAUCUGCUAAUUUCUGUCCAUUAAAUGUAUUAUUAUAAUGCA